rnacentral:rRNA from 1 species
UACGUAGGGGGCAAGCGUUGUCCGGAAUCAUUGGGCGUAAAGCGCGCGUAGGCGGCCCGGUAAGUCCGCUGUGAAAGUCAAAGGCUCAACCUUUGAAUGCCGGUGGAUACUGUCGGGCUAGAGUCCGGAAGAGGCGAGUGGAAUUCCUGGUGUAGCGGUGGAAUGCGCAGAUAUCGAGAGGAACACCGGUGGCGAAGGCGGCCAACUGGACGAGUACUGACGCUGAGACACGAAAGCGUGGGGAGCAAACAGG